UACGAAGGGUGCAAACGUUGCUCGGAAUUAUUGGGCGUAAAGCGCACGUAGGCGGCUUUGCAAGUCCCAUGUGAAAUCCCACGGCUCAACCGUGGAAGUGCACUCGAAACUGCGCAGCUAGAGUCCUGGAGAGGAAGGUGGAAUGCUUGGUGUAGAGGUGAAAUUCGUAGAUAUCAAGCGGAACACCGGUGGCGAAGGCGGCCUUCUGGACAGUGACUGACGCUGAGAUGCGAAAGCGUGGGGAGCAAACAGG
rnacentral:rRNA from 1 species